GGGUGGUUAGCUCAGUUGGAAGAGCGUCUGCUUGACGUGCAGGAGGCCGCAGGUUCAAGUCCUGCACCACCCACCA
rnacentral:tRNA from 1 species